AUUGAACGCUGGCGGCAGGCCUAACACAUGCAAGUCGAGCGGAUGAAGGGAGCUUGCUCCUGGAUUCAGCGGCGGACGGGUGAGUAAUGCCUAGGAAUCUGCCUGGUAGUGGGGGAUAACGUCCGGAAACGGGCGCUAAUACCGCAUACGUCCUGAGGGAGAAAGUGGGGGAUCUUCGGACCUCACGCGAUCAGAUGAGCCUAGGUCGGAUUAGCUAGUUGGUGGGGUAAAGGCCUACCAAGGCGACGAUCCGUAACUGGUCUGAGAGGAUGAUCAGUCACACUGGAACUGAGACACGGUCCAGACUCCUACGGGAGGCAGCAGUGGGGAAUAUUGGACAAAGGGCGAAAGCCUGAUCCAGCCAUGCCGCGUGUGUGAAGAAGGUCUUCGGAUUGUAAAGCACUUUAAGUUGGGAGGAAGGGCAGUAAGUUAAUCCCUUGCUGUUUUGACGUUACCAACAGAAUAAGCCCCGGCUAACUUCGUG
rnacentral:rRNA from 1 species